rnacentral:rRNA from 1 species
CCUACGGGAGGCUGCAGUGGGGAAUAUUGCACAAUGGGCGCAAGCCUGAUGCAGCCAUGCCGCGUGUGUGAAGAAGGCCUUCGGGUUGUAAAGCACUUUCAGCGGGGAGGAAGGCGGUGAGGUUAAUAACCUCAUCGAUUGACGUUACCCGCAGAAGAAGCACCGGCUAACUCCGUGCCAGCAGCCGCGGUAAUACGGAGGGUGCAAGCGUUAAUCGGAAUUACUGGGCGUAAAGCGCACGCAGGCGGUCUGUCAAGUCGGAUGUGAAAUCCCCGGGCUCAACCUGGGAACUGCAUUCGAAACUGGCAGGCUAGAGUCUUGUAGAGGGGGGUAGAAUUCCAGGUGUAGCGGUGAAAUGCAUAGAGAUCUGGAGGAAUACCGGUGGCGAAGGCGGCCCCCUGGACAAAGACUGACGCUCAGGUGCGAAAGCGUGGGGAGCAAACAGGAUUAGAUACCCGGGUAGUC